rnacentral:RNase_P_RNA from 1 species
CAACAGAGACGGCUUGUUGCUUUGCUUAGCAGAGAGGAAAGUCCGGACACCAUAGGGCAGCAUAGCGGCUAACGGCCGUCCACAGUGAUGUGAGGACCAGUGCAACAGAAAGCAAGUACAGUUCGGCUGUAGUGAAAUCAGGUAAACUCUAUGCGGUGUAAUGCCAAGUAUAUCGGCAACUAAGGGCGGCUCGUCCAAUGCCGAGGGGUAGGCAGCUAAAGCCUUUCAGCAAUGGUAGGCGUAGAUAAAUAACAAGCACUUUGUUCGCAAAGUACAGAAUCCGGCUUAUAGUCCCUGUUGUGGU